rnacentral:rRNA from 1 species
UAAUACCCCAUAUGCCGAGAGGUGAAAUGAAUUUCGCCUGAGGAUGAGCUCGCGUCUGAUUAGCUAGUUGGUGUGGUAAAGGCUCACCAAGGCAUCGAUCAGUAGCUGGUCUGAGAGGAUGAUCAGCCACACUGGGACUGAGACACGGCCCAGACUCCUACGGGAGGCAGCAGUGGGGAAUUUUCCGCAAUGGGCGCAAGCCUGACGGAGCAACACCGCGUGAGGGAUGAAGGCUCCUGGACUGUAAACCUCUUUU